GGUCAGCUACACAUGCAGUCGAGCGAGAACUUCGGUUCUAGCGGCGGACGGGUUAGUAACGCGUGGGAACGUGCCCUUCACUACGGAAUAGUCCCGGGAAACUGGGUUUAAUACCGUAUACGCCCUUCGGGGGAAAGAAUUUCGGUGAAGGAUCGGCCCGCGUUAGAUUAGAUAGUUGGUGGGGUAACGGCCUACCAAGUCUACGAUCUAUAGCUGGUUUUAGAGGAUGAUCAGCAACACUGGGACUGAGACACGGCCCAGACUCCUACGGGAGGCAGCAGUGGGGAAUCUUAGACAAUGGGCGCAAGCCUGAUCUAGCCAUGCCGCGUGAGUGAUGAAGGCCUUAGGGUCGUAAAGCUCUUUCGCCAGGGAUGAUAAUGACAGUACCUGGUAAAGAAACCCCGGCUAACUCCGUGCCAGCAGCCGCGGUAAUACGGAGGGGGUUAGCGUUGUUCGGAAUUACUGGGCGUAAAGCGCGCGUAGGCGGAUUGGAAAGUUGGGGGUGAAAUCCCAGGGCUCAACCCUGGAACUGCCUCCAAAACUAUCAGUCUAGAGUUCGAGAGAGGUGAGUGGAACUCCGAGUGUAGAGGUGAAAUUCGUAGAUAUUCGGAAGAACACCAGUGGCGAAGGCGGCUCACUGGCUCGAUACUGACGCUGAGGUGCGAAAGUGUGGGGAGCAAACAGGAUUAGAUACCCUGGUAGUCCACACC
rnacentral:rRNA from 1 species